UGGGGGUGUGAGUGGCGCGCUGUAGGCUGUGGGACGCUCAGUAGAGUGUAAGGUUUGGCUGCUUGGUGUGGAUGGGUCUCCUGAAAGGGAAGAGCGUGCAGAGAUAGGAUGGUGGUGGAAAAAAAAAGGGGGAGAGAUGGAAGGAUUGGUCAUGCGCAAGACCGCAGGCCGUUGGAGGCAGCUUAGAAAUCUCUUACAUCUGGAAGAGCCAUAAUUCACGGGAUUUGGCCUGACAGCCAUGACAGGCAUUGGGGCAGCCAGCAACAACUGUCUCCUGUGUUAGCACUGGAAAAGGAAGAAGGCGAGCGAAGACCAAAAAAAAAAACAAUAAGCACAAUAUGUGUGAGUACACGCAACUUUUUAAGUAUGCAGGAAACUCAUGAAUAUUAGACCUGCUGGUUUGCAAAACUUUGUGCAACUAAGUUUGGACACAGCAACGCAACACGGACGUCUGAUGAUGCAUUCAGACAAAGCAGAAGAAUGUUUACACAACUCAGUGCAACAAGAACAACAAAAGUAAGCGCAAUAAUGUGAUGUCCUUGAAUGCUGAUUUUAUCAUAUGGAAAAUAUGACCAAACGAAAUGAGGAAUGUUUUGCAGAUCAACGUAAUUAAAAGAUGUUCCGCAGAUUCACUUUUCUGACAAU